ensembl:lncRNA MIR99AHG mir-99a-let-7c cluster host gene
GGCAGCUUCUGCUAGUGUUUAGGUACUAGUGCAGUGUAGAACCCUUUUCUCAGGCAAAACCUAACAUCUGACCGCACCCUUUUUGCUAUUAAAAAAAAAAAAAAGCUUCUAUUUUUUUCCUCCUGUCGUUAAGAUAAAUUCUCCAGUAGACAACCUCUCCCACUAAUUGUGUAUUAGCAACGUAUUUUAUCUUGAGAGCUUGUACACUGGGCUCUCAACGUGGUGUGGAAGGUAGCCUGUUACAGUGCUGGAUUCAUAAAAGGGCCUUUAUGGUUUGUGAAAGAAUAUCUGUGUGCUUAGGGAGGAAACUUUUUGAUCUGCAGAAAAGCCAGAAGACAUCUAGGACAUCCAUAAAAAUUCAUCAGAGAGCAUUUUACUACUGAGCUGCAAAGGGAAAAACUUAAAAUGGAUAUGAAAAGUGAAGAAAGUGAUCAUAGGAGAAAACCAUUUCAGAUGACAAGAGCACCUCAAAGGCAGCAGCCUCAAGGAGCAGCCAUGGCCCCAGACUUGUCGCACGGAUGCAGAAAACUUAAUGGAGGAGGCUGAGCAAGAUUUCUUCAUAAAUAAUAUUGUAUGUGUUCAUGAAAAUAGAAAUAAAAAUAGAAAUAAAGAAGAAAUAACAGAAAAAGGACAGAAAUUGUUAAAAUUUUUUUAUGAAAACAGAUAGUAAAUAACAUUGUAAUAAAUCCCAACAGAACAUAGAGAACCUGACUUUAUUGACGUUAGUGGGAGGAGGUUUGUGAUUUUAAAACUAUAUAUUAUGGUUAUGUCAUCUAAAAAUCAAAUAUUCAAGCACAUAUAUUAAAAUUAGUCAUCAUUACAUUUUUCCAAAAUAAAAAAUAAAACUAAA